rnacentral:tRNA from 1 species
CGGAGUGUAGGCUAGUGGUAAGUCGCCCGGUUUGGGACCGGGAAAUCGCAGGUUCGAGUCCUGCCAUUCCGA